GAUGAACGCUGGCGGCGUGCCUAAUACAUGCAAGUCGAGCGAACAGACGAGGAGCUUGCUCCUCUGACGUUAACGGCGGACGGGUGAGUAACACGUGGAUAACCUACCUAUAAGACUGGGAUCACUUCGGGAAACCGGAGCUAAUACCGGAUAAUAUAUUGAACCGCAUGGUUCAAUAGUGCAAGACCGUUUUUCUGUCACGUAUAGAUGGAUCCGCGCCGCAUUAGCUAGUUGGUAAGGUAACGGCUUACCAAGGCAACGAUGCGUAGCCGACCUGAGAGGGUGAUCGGCCACACUGGAACUGAGACACGGUCCAGACUCCUACGGGAGGCAGCAGUAGGGAAUCUUCCGCAAAGGGCGAAAGCCUGACGGAGCAACGCCGCGUGAGUGAUGAAGGUCUUCGGAUCGUAAAACUCUGUUAUUAGGGAAGAACAAAUGUGUAAGUAACUAUGCACGUCUUGACGGUACCUAAUCAGAAAGCCACGGCUAACUACGUG
rnacentral:rRNA from 1 species